rnacentral:piRNA from 1 species
UGAUAUGGUAGCGUACUUAUGUAGUCUAG